ensembl:lncRNA
GAGAAUGGGUUGGUGCGUGUGCGUUGCGCGGGUUGUUCAAACGUGGAGUGACUGUAAGCCAUCCAUUCACGUGUCGACGCAGCGAGGAGGCGGUGGCUCAGAGGAAGUGGAGAGGCUGAGGAGCAUCAGGGACUGCAGAUAAAUUGGUGGUGCCCAUCCCUACCAGCCCUGAGAUUUAGGCAGCCAGCUGAGGUGCCACAAGAAGUACGCCACCCCCUACUGCCUUGCAAACGGAUGAAUUUUAACGUCUGAGAAGUACAUGGACUGUAUGUGAAGGCAGGGAACCUGCUCUGCUGCUGUCAUCAUCGACCUCUGAUAUCACUUGGAGCAAGACAACCAACGAUAGCAGUGAUCUGACUCUGGAGUGGUAAGAAAGCUCCAGUGAGUUUGCUGAACCCCACGGAAUGUUUUUACCACGAUAAUCCAGUAUUUAUAAAGAAGAAACAGUCUUGUAUAUAAGGUCUUCACCCUUUGUAGCUAGUUUUGAGUAACUGCAAAUAUGAAUCUGCCCAGCUAUAAUAUUUUUACAAAUGGAGUGAAGGAGAAGGGGUGAGGAAAAAAUGGAGGAGGAAAAGCCAGUUAUCUCUUAAUGACUUUGGUGCUGGAAAUCAUUCAAAUUACUCUUCCACCUCGUAGAACAAGACCUGAAAAUGGUACUUGGAGCUAAAGACUUAGAUUGGAUUUACGGGGCUUAGCUGGUUGCCAGCAAACUGUCAUGGAGUGAAGUCUAAUUGCAUCCACAAAUGAUGUAUCCCAUCGAUGAGCACCAAGAAGACCCCAGUUCUUCACUCCCAGACUGAUGCCCGGCCUGACCUGCCACUGCAGAGCUAUUCCUGAGCUCAGAUUUACUGUGACUCGCUGUAGAGAACUAAGCCAAACCUGCUGUUUUAUUGGAAAAUCUCCAUUCAGACACAAAUUGAGUUCAAUAAUUGCUCAGCCAACUGUGUUUUUCUUGAACUUGCUACAUCUACUACUUAUAUAGAGUAUUUUAGGAGUUUCUCUCCAGUAGCUGUCUUGUUGGAAGACAAAGCACUGGUCUGUUUGGUAGAUCUUAAGAUAGAAUAAAGCAAGUGCCACCCUGCAGCUGGUUUAUUGGAGGACUUAUGUGGAGCUGAGAAAACACACUGGUACAGAUGUGUUCCUGUUUCUUAGAUUUCAAAACUUCCUAGUUUAAAUUCAUCUUCAAGCUCCACUUUGAUAUCUGCAGAACUUAAAGACAGUAAAAGAAGCACGAGCAUAUAGGACUGAUGCUGCCAGUCAUUUCUGUCUGAGAGCUCAAAUACAGCAGCAUAAGAGCAAGGUACAGUGGAUAAGGAAAGGAAAAUAACUGUUUAUCCCAAAGAUUCUCCUUUCUCUAUUUUAGUGCUUGUCAGCCUGACUAUGUGCCUCCACAAGUCCUGCUGGAGGGCAGCCCUGUUGGCUGGAGCCUUCCUCUACUGAGUGUGUGGGGCCCAUUAAGGAAGUGAAGGACAUCUUUUGAGAGAAGCUUCAUCUUUUUACAUGUUUAAUAUCAUUGCAGAUCUGAGAAGGACAACUGAAUUGGAAAUCUUGUUUCUAGUGCUUUUUUUUUUUUUACCAGUAAUUUUCUCCCCAUUCCUUUACUCUGAUUAAAUUAAUCUGUCAUCCAGAAUGUGGCAUGUUAUCACCUGUGACUUUAUCAAAUAUCAAGUGUGUAUGCAUUAUGGUUUGAAGAGUUCUUAGUGGAGCUGAAUUGUGGCUGUGUGGCUUUAGGCCCCCUCAGAAGAAAGGCUUUGUAUUCCAAGCUGGCACACAGCCUGCCUCAUACCGCAGAUCUGACAGAGUCUGCUUCAGUUUAAGGCAUUUGUAGGAGCAAUGGCUCUUGAAACACUUAAUUUUACCUUCUCUUUUGUUGAAGUUACGGUUAGUCUAAUGUAGAAUCUCAAUUUCAAC